rnacentral:rRNA from 1 species
GAUGAACGCUGGCGGCGUGCCUAAUACAUGCAGGUCGAGCGAACGGACGAGAAGCUUGCUUCUCUGAUGUUAGCGGCGGACGGGUGAGUAACACGUGGAUAACCUACCUAUAAGACUGGGAUAACUUCGGGAAACCGGAGCUAAUACCGGAUAAUAUUUUGAACCGCAUGGUUCAAAAGUGAAAGGCGGUCUUGCUGUCACUUAUAGAUGGAUCCGCGCUGCAUUAGCUAGUUGGUAAGGUAACGGCUUACCAAGGCAACGAUGCAUAGCCGACCUGAGAGGGUGAUCGGCCACACUGGAACUGAGACACGGUCCAGACUCCUACGGGAGGCAGCAGUAGGGAAUCUUCCGCAAUGGGCGAAAGCCUGACGGAGCAACGCCGCGUGAGUGAUGAAGGUCUUCGGAUCGUAAAACUCUGUUAUUAGGGAAGAACAUAUGUGUAAGUAACUGUGCACAUCUUGACGGUACCUAAUCAGAAAGCCACGGCUAACUACGUG